rnacentral:rRNA from 1 species
UACGUAGGGGGCUAGCGUUGUCCGGAAUCAUUGGGCGUAAAGCGCGCGUAGGCGGCCCGGUAAGUCCGCUGUGAAAGUCCAGGGCUCAACCCUGGAAAGCCGGUGGAUACUGCCGGGCUAGAGUCCGGAAGAGGCGAGUGGAAUUCCUGGUGUAGCGGUGAAAUGCGCAGAUAUCAGGAGGAACACCAAUUGCGAAGGCAGCUCGCUGGGACGUUACUGACGCUGAGACGCGAAAGCGUGGGGAGCAAACAGG